rnacentral:rRNA from 1 species
GUGGGGAAUCUUGCACAAUGGGGGAAACCCUGAUGCAGCGACGCCGCGUGAGCGAUGAAGCCCUUCGGGGUGUAAAGCUCUUUCGGCAGGAACGAUAAUGACGGUACCUGAAGAAGAAGCUGCGGCUAACUACGUGCCAGCAGCCGCGGUAAUACGUAGGCAGCGAGCGUUGUUCGGAGUUACUGGGCGUAAAGAGUGCGUAGGCGGUCCUUUAAGUUCGGUGUGAAAUCUCCCGGCUCAACCGGGAGGGUGCGCCGAAAACUGGAGGGCUUGAGUGCGGGAGAGGAGAGCGGAAUUCCUGGUGUAGCGGUGAAAUGCGUAGAUAUCAGGAGGAACACCUGUGGUGCAGACGGCUCUCUGGACCGCAACUGACGCUGAGGCACGAAAGCGUGGGUAGCAAACAGGAUUAGAAACCCCGGUAGUCC